rnacentral:lncRNA from 1 species
AACAAAGGGACGAGAGACGCGCAACUCCGCUCCGCACUGUGCGCCAGCAUCCCCGGGGCACGGAGGGCGCUGCGGCCCGCCCGGAGACCCCCCCACCCAGGCUGGAUCCGGGCCCUGGGGCCCAGGGAGCGGGUGUGGACAAAUCCUCCAAGAUUUAACUUCCAAGAAAACCGGCGGCGGAGCGGGUGGAGGAGGCGAGGAUGUGUGGCCAAUGCACGCGGAGUGCAAGGCCGCCUAGUUGGGAGCCGCAAGAGCCUGCCUGGUGUGGCAGGCACACGGAACCCAAUCCCUGUCUGUCCGCUGCGGCCUGGGAGGGGAGCGCCGGCCUCACCAGAGGAAGGAGCACGAGGGGAGGAGUUCCGAGAGGAAAUAAUUAGUGAAAUAUUUGCAGAAGAUGCUGGGAUGUGGAUUUAAUUCCGGAUGGACAGUGGUGCUUCUGAUUCCCUCAGUCUGUUUCCCCACCCACGAUCUCCUCUUUCCUUGGCCUAGACACACCAAAAAUAAUUCAAUAAAAUAAAAAUAAAAAUUUAAAAAUC